rnacentral:rRNA from 1 species
AGCGAACGCUGGCGGCAGGCCUAACACAUGCAAGUCGAACGAACUCUUCGGAGUUAGUGGCGGACGGGUGAGUAACACGUGGGAACGUGCCUUUUGGUUCGGAAUAACUCAGGGAAACUUGUGCUAAUACCGAAUGUGCCCUUCGGGGGAAAGAUUUAUCGCUAUUAGAGCGGCCCGCGUCUGAUUAGCUAGUUGGUGAG